GGAAUCUUCCGCAAUGGGCGAAAGCCUGACGGAGCAACGCCGCGUGAGUGAUGAAGGUUUUCGGAUCGUAAAGCUCUGUUGCCAGGGAAGAACGUCUUGUAGAGUAACUGCUACAAGAGUGACGGUACCUGAGAAGAAAGCCCCGGCUAACUACGUGCCAGCAGCCGCGGUAAUACGUAGGGGGCAAGCGUUGUCCGGAAUUAUUGGGCGUAAAGCGCGCGCAGGCGGCUCUUUAAGUCUGGUGUUUAAUCCCGAGGCUCAACUUCGGGUCGCACUGGAAACUGGGGAGCUUGAGUGCAGAAGAGGAGAGUGGAAUUCCACGUGUAGCGGUGAAAUGCGUAGAGAUGUGGAGGAACAUCCAUGGCGAAGGCAGCUACCUGGACCAACAUUGACACUGAGGCACGAAAGCGUGGAGAGCAAACAGGA
rnacentral:misc_RNA from 1 species